AUGGACAUCAUGUCUCAGUAACAGAGGUAUACUUUGAAGCAUUGUUAAGUUAAGGUCCAUUAAUGGCCAAUACACACCAAAUUCCACUUUAUGCCUUAGAAUAUUUGCACAAGAUCAAUUGAUUAUACUAAAGAAAAACAAUUUUCAUGUCAAAUUCUUUGCAAAUAAAAGCAAUUUAAAUUAGAGUUUAAACAAGGAAAAAUGUACAAAAUUAUUGAUAAAUUAUAUUUAAAAUAAUACUACGGUAAUCCUCAAGGUUCCACUUCCGUCUAUCUCUUGAAACAUAUGUUUCUGUCUAAAGGGAAAAAACAAGAGUGCUAGCUUAUGAUCUCCAAAUCUUUUAUUACUUUAAAAUAUCUCCUUAAAGAUAUCACUUUCAAAUGUACAUACCACCGUUACAUGGACAUCAUGUCCUUGUAAUGGUCAUAUUGAAUAGUAUGACUUGACAUUCUACUUAUCAACACACUAAAUGCGAGUUAACUCAUCUUACUCAAGUGUAGAAAUACAACAUCUACAGGCAAGCUUCUGAAAUGCAUAUCAAUGAACAGGUUACAAGUUUAUGAACUUCAAGAAGAUCGGUGACCCAAUGGAUAGAGGUAGAAUUGUGCCUCGCCAUCAGGCCAGGAGUACAGGUCACCAGAUUGACACUUCAUGUACUGAAGAUAUACAUUUUAACCUUCAACAGAG
rnacentral:lncRNA from 1 species